rnacentral:rRNA from 1 species
CGCUUAGGCGUGUGACUGCGUACCUUUUGUAUAAUGGGUCAGCGACUUAUAUUCUGUAGCAAGGUUAACCGAAUAGGGGAGCCGAAGGGAAACCGAGUCUUAACUGGGCGUUAAGUUGCAGGGUAUAGACCCGAAACCCGGUGAUCUAGCCAUGGGCAGGUUGAAGGUUGGGUAACACUAACUGGAGGACCGAACCGACUAAUGUUGAAAAAUUAGCGGAUGACUUGUGGCUGGGGGUGAAAGGCCAAUCAAACCGGGAGAUAGCUGGUUCUCCCCGAAAGCUAUUUAGGUAGCGCCUCGUGAAUUCAUCUCCGGGGGUAGAGCACUGUUUCGGCAAGGGGGUCAUCCCGACUUACCAACCCGAUGCAAACUGCGAAUACCGGAGAAUGUUAUCACGGGAGACACACGGCGGGUGCUAACGUCCGUCGUGAAGAGGGAAACAACCCAGACCGCCAGCUAAGGUCCCAAAGUCAUGGUUAAGUGGGAAACGAUGUGGGAAGGCCCAGACAGCCAGGAUGUUGGCUUAGAAGCAGCCAUCAUUUAAAGAAAGCGUAAUAGCUCACUGGUCGAGUCGGCCUGCGCGGAAGAUGUAACGGGGCUAAACCAUGCACCGAAGCUGCGGCAGCGACGCUGAUGCGUUGUUGGGUAGGGGAGCGUUCUG